rnacentral:rRNA from 1 species
GGUAGGGUAAUGGCCUACCAAGGCGACGAUCGGUAGCUGGUCUGAGAGGAUGAUCAGCCACACUGGGACUGAGACACGGCCCAGACUCCUACGGGAGGCAGCAGUGGGGAAUAUUGGACAAUGGGCGCAAGCCUGAUCCAGCAAUGCCGCGUGUGUGAAGAAGGCCUGCGGGUUGUAAAGCACUUUUGUUCGGGAAGAAAUCAUGCUGGUUAAUACCUGGUAUGGAUGACGGUACCGAAAGAAUAAGCACCGGCUAACUUCGUGCCAGCAGCCGCGGUAAUACGAAGGGUGCAAGCGUUAAUCGGAAUUACUGGGCGUAAAGGGUGCGUAGGCGGCCUUUUAAGUCGGAUGUGAAAUCCCCGGGGCUCAACCUGGGAAUGGCAUUCGAUACUGGGAGGCUAGAGUUUGGGAGAGGGUGGUGGAAUUCCCGGUGUAGCGGUGAAAUGCGUAGAGAUCGGGGAGGAACAUCAGUGGCGAAGGCGGCCACCUGGCCUAAAACUGACGCUGAGGCACGAAAGCGUGGGGAG